AUGAACGCUGGCGGCGUGCUUAACACAUGCAAGUCGAACGAUGAAGCCCAGCUUGCUGGGUGGAUUAGUGGCGAACGGGUGAGUAACACGUGAGUAACCUGCCCUUAACUCUGGGAUAAGCCUGGGAAACUGGGUCUAAUACCGGAUAGGAGCGACCACCGCAUGGUGGGUGUUGGAAAGAUUUAUCGGUUUUGGAUGGACUCGCGGCCUAUCAGCUUGUUGGUGAGGUAAUGGCUCACCAAGGCGACGACGGGUAGCCGGCCUGAGAGGGUGACCGGCCACACUGGGACUGAGACACGGCCCAGACUCCUACGGGAGGCAGCAGUGGGGAAUAUUGCACAAUGGGCGCAAGCCUGAUGCAGCGACGCCGCGUGAGGGAUGACGGCCUUCGGGUUGUAAACCUCUUUCAGUAGGGAAGAAGCGAAAGUGACGGUACCUGCAGAAGAAGCACCGGCUAACUACGUG
rnacentral:rRNA from 1 species